AGUUAGUUACUUCACAAUUCUAGCUAAGUUUGUUUAGAUAUUCACUUUUUUACUUUUCCCCCUGCCUUUUAAAAAUCUAUAUUUUAUUUCUUUAAAAUUUCAGAAAUAUUUUCAGGAGGAUACGAAGUUAAUGGAGAUGACAAAAUGACCAAAUUUCCUUUACACCUUCUAUAAAAAAAUAAUUUUAAAAUAUAUAUCUGCCAUUUUGAAGGGCAUUUUUGAUAUAAAUUAUACGAAAUGGACAGAAGAGGGAUGAAACUCUAACAAAGAAGGGCUAAAUGCAACAAUUUGAAAUGUUGAUGAGGUAAAAUAUAGGUUUCUGAAAGUUAAGAAGGAAAAGUGAAAAAAUGGGUAUUUUAUUUAUAAGAAGUUUUUUUUUGUAAUUUAGCCUUAAUAUUAAAUUUUUUGAAUAAAAUAAAGAUAAACUCAUAUUUAAACAUAAUUUUUUGAACCACAAGAUGAUAAAGUGAAAAAUAAACUAAACCGCCGU
rnacentral:lncRNA from 1 species